AGUGAACGCUGGCGGUAGGCCUAACACAUGCAAGUCGAACGGCAGCACAGUAAGAGCUUGCUCUUACGGGUGGCGAGUGGCGGACGGGUGAGGAAUACAUCGGAAUCUACUUUUUCGUGGGGGAUAACGUAGGGAAACUUACGCUAAUACCGCAUACGACCUACGGGUGAAAGCAGGGGAUCUUCGGACCUUGCGCGAUUGAAUGAGCCGAUGUCGGAUUAGCUAGUUGGCGGGGUAAAGGCCCACCAAGGCGACGAUCCGUAGCUGGUCUGAGAGGAUGAUCAGCCACACUGGAACUGAGACACGGUCCAGACUCCUACGGGAGGCAGCAGUGGGGAAUAUUGGACAAUGGGGCCAAACCUGAUCCAGCCAUACCGCGUGGGUGAAGAAGGCCUUCGGGUUGUAAAGCCCUUUUGUUGGGAAAGAAAAGCAGCAGGUUAAUACCCCGCUGUUCUGACGGUACCCAAAGAAUAAGCACCGGCUAACUUCGUG
rnacentral:rRNA from 1 species